rnacentral:rRNA from 1 species
UUACCAUGCAGUCGAGCGCCCCGCAAGGGGAGCGGCAGACGGGUGAGUAACGCGUGGGAACGUACCUUUUGCUACGGAAUAACUCAGGGAAACUUGUGCUAAUACCGUAUGUGCCCUUCGGGGGAAAGAUUUAUCGGCAAAGGAUCGGCCCGCGUUGGAUUAGCUAGUUGGUGAGGUAAAGGCUCACCAAGGCGACGAUCCAUAGCUGGUCUGAGAGGAUGAUCAGCCACACUGGGACUGAGACACGGCCCAGACUCCUACGGGAGGCAGCAGUGGGGAAUAUUGGACAAUGGGCGCAAGCCUGAUCCAGCCAUGCCGCGUGAGUGAUGAAGGCCCUAGGGUUGUAAAGCUCUUUCACCGGUGAAGAUAAUGACGGUAACCGGAGAAGAAGCCCCGGCUAACUUCGUGCCAGCAGCCGCGGUAAUACGAAGGGGGCUAGCGUUGUUCGGAUUUACUGGGCGU